rnacentral:rRNA from 1 species
AGCGAACGCUGGCGGCAGGCUUAACACAUGCAAGUCGAGCGGGCAUCCUUGUGGUGUCAGCGGCAGACGGGUGAGUAACGCGUGGGAACGUGCCCUUCGGUUCGGAAUAACUCAGGGAAACUUGAGCUAAUACCGGAUACGUGCGAGAGCAGAAAGGUUUAUCUGCCGAAGGAUCGGCCCGCGUCUGAUUAGCUAGUUGGUGAGGUUACGGCUCACCAAGGCGACGAUCAGUAGCUGGUCUGAGAGGAUGAUCAGCCACACUGGGACUGAGACACGGCCCAGACUCCUACGGGAGGCAGCAGUGGGGAAUAUUGGACAAUGGGGGCAACCCUGAUCCAGCCAUGCCGCGUGAGUGAUGACGGCCUUAGGGUUGUAAAGCUCUUUUCUCCGGGACGAUAAUGACGUUACCGGAGGAAUAAGCCCCGGCUAACUUCGUG